UCUUGCUGUUGCUGCAAGUUGCAGGCUCAGGCUUUACUGCGACGGGACAAGAAGGGUUUGCAGGACGGCGGUGGCGAGAUAAGGCCGGUUUGGGCGGGGUCUCGUCCUUAUCUUGCACUCCGGCUGCCCUACGUCUCUCCGCCCGAGGAGGGGCGAGUCGGAGCGGUGGCGCAGUUGGACCCGUACUUUGGAGCAAGGUAGGUUUUUUGGGGGGUUGCCAUAGUGGUGCCGGCUCGUGCAGGAGGUAGAUCUGCCUGCCCGGAAGAGGAAGGAGCAUCAGUGCGUCUGCCUUCCAGAUCUGGAAGCUGCUGUACGUGCUUACGUAAGCGUACUUGCAGAUCUUACCAUGUAUUCUUCUUCCCAGGUGAUCAUUUUUCGUGUUUGUUUUCUAACUGUUCCAUUUCUGACAGUGCCUAAUUUGAGGUACUGAUGGAUGGUGCUAAAUUCUUUUUGAGUGUUAGUAAAUUGCCAAGCAGGGGUGAAUGAAUUCAAUUAGCCAACUAAUAUCCUGAUAUUGAAAUUGACCGUUAUGCAUAGAUAAGUGCAUCUUUUGGUUUAACACACGAAUAUCUUUUCAGAUCGCUUAUGUAUGUUUGUGCUAUUGUUUUCUCUAAUGAAGAUGGCACAAUAUUAAGACCAUCAAUUUAUUCUGAUCCAUCAGAAAAAGCAACAAUCUAAUACAGAUAAUUCGGUCAAGAUUCUUAUUUUAUGGGUCUCGUCGUACCAUGAUUUUUCUUGUGUUUGCCUAUGGCUAGUUGUAUUUGUACAUAAACUUCUUUGCAGAUGCAUUUAUGUGAAACACAUUCAGGACCUAGCUCGGUAACUAUAUUAGAGGUUCACGUACUGUGUGAUGAUUAAGAGGCUCGAUUGUUCUUUCAUGUGCAGGGUGUCCUAAUAAUUCUGGAUCCGUGUCCCAAUUUUUUCCUGCACCAAAUAGUUGUGGCAUGAAAUAUCCUCUCACUCAUAAUACAGCUUCUUUAAAAAGCUGUUUUUUUUAUCAUUCACAGUGCAUUUGAACAAAAUAUACAAUGGAAGAUUCAUUACAAUUUUAUGUAGUCAUAUCAGUUCCAGAGACCUAGAAGUGUUCUGCAAAGGCUGAGAUGUUUUACCAAAACAAGAUAAUUGGUGCAAUUUUAUGUGUGUUCCUACGGCUACAACUUUUUGAACCCAUCCACUAACACGAAUGAUGAAUAUGGAAUAACAUGCUUAAUUCACCCAUAAAUAAUUUCAAAGCCAUGUACACACAUAUUUGGUCAUUGACAGGAUAGAUUAAUUGCAAUGGUCAUAAUUGGUACCUUACAUUAGUCCUUUUUAUGUAUAGUUCUUAUCUAAUAUUGUUAUAUAUUGAAUAGGUUCUGUGAAUUUCUUAGCUUUUUCUGUGAGGGUUCCUAAAUUAUUACUUAAUCAAUUAAAUCUAGAUCGUCCAGAUCAACUGCUCUACAGCCAUAUAUACCUAUUGCUCAAAAUCUCAAAUACAUGUGUCAUGUUGUUUUCACUUAUCGUCGCUCUCGUUAAUCCCAGUAAAUCAUUUUGCCAGGAUGUAAUUAAUCUAGUUAAUUAAAGCUCGAACUUAUACACUUCCAGUGCUGUCUUUGUAUGGCUUUGGAAUCUCCCAUUUAAAGGAAUCUGCAAAUGUUCCUUACACAGAUUUUUUCCUUGUAUGCUGUGGUUUUUAAUAAUACUAGCACUAUAUGAAUUCAAGAAGAGAUACUAACAAUUGCUACCAGCUGUGGAUCGCCACUUGUAUGUCUCCCCCCAAGCUUAUCCAUAUGGCCAGAACUGAACUGGCACACCCUUCCUGAACAUGGUUCCUGCUGGGCACGUGUUGCCAAUGUUUGGACAUCUGGAGAUAAAACUCUGAUUGCAUGAAGUCAUGAAUCAGGAGUCAGGAUCCACCACGCCUUUCUCUGGUCCCUAGAUAUAUAUCAACAUAUGAAACGUGCAUGCUAUCCAGCGUUGUAAUGAUAGCUCCUGUUAUCAUUCAAACAAGGAGGUGUUUGUAUUUGGUUCC